ensembl:lncRNA
GGCGGAACCAAUGAUUGGGUUGGCCAUUGCAGCUGGGGGUUCAGAUUGACUGACGGACGUACCUCCAGUGCACUCCUGGACAGGUACGCGCUGUGCAGCACGCGAAACACUGUGUUUGGGUGCUGGAUUUUUUCCUGAUGAAGGUUUAAUACCUAAACAUUCCAUCCUGCUGCCAUCUGGUAAACAACACACCUGGUCGUCCAUGCGAUGUAAAAGAAAACGUGAUCUUCAGACCAAAGAACUACAGACUCUUCACAACCUGCUCAAACUCUUGGUACAGGACCUCACCACACGGGUCAAGAAGGUUUCUCUCUCAUUUCUACUCUGAAGCUCACCUUCUCCUGCUCAAACUGCUGACAAAUGUUUCUGCUGCGCUAAAGUCUGGUCUCCAGAACUUCCUAAAAACUCUCAAAGUCUCUUCUGCUGCAGGUUGCUUUGUAGAACUGUUCCAGAAAACCUCACUAAACCACAUGGAGGGGCCUCAAGAUAGUCAUCCAAAUGAAACCAUACAAAAACCAAACUAGCACAACCUAAACACUAAAGUCUCCUGCAGCCUACCAGAGAACCUCUGAGAACAGAGAAUCAGGACAGGAACUCUUACCUUCUGGACAACCAACGUUGGUUCACCAACAAGAAUACAGAAUGUGUCUGACCAAAAACCUCUGAAGACUCACUACAGCCAAGAUAAAGACACAACUCACCUGCACCAAAUCCACUAAUCAUUGCACACAUUAACACCAUGUGCUAACUGUGGCUAAAGAACCACAUUUACCAAGACAACUAUCCAGUACAAAGCCCUAAAACACACCAAGAAACACAUUAAAGAUGAUUUUACUGCUGGAAGCUGCAAGCCAACGCCUAAAGAACAAACUAAAGCAAUGGAGCCAAACCCGGUUUAGUGGUGAAGAGAAGCAGAAGAAAUGUUUGUCUGCAGCUAAAUAAAGCAGGAAGACACCGAGCUGCUCAGGUGUUCCUGAUAACACCAAGCAGCCACCUGGACAGCCAAUAGGAACACAGCUUCCUGGAAGUUUUGCACAGACAAUUUGCACAGACAUUCUUGCACUGCACAUCUUUGCACUUUUAAACUUUAUUUUUAUUUUUAUUUUUUCUGUUAAAAAUUUUGCCACCCUUGUAUAUAUUGUAAAUAAAACUGCUGUAACAAUGUAAAUUUCCCCUGGAGUGGGGAGAAAUAAAGAACUUUAUCUUUAUCUUAUCUUAAGUCCAGAGGGCUGGCUUAGUGAAGUAAAUUUAGUUUAAAGUUGAAGCAGAAAGUUAAC